UGGGGAAUAUUGCACAAUGGGCGCAAGCCUGAUGCAGCAACGCCGCGUGAACGAAGAAGGUCUUCGGAUUGUAAAGUUCUGUCCUUAGGGAAGAAGGAAGUGACGGUACCUAAGGAGGAAGCCCCGGCUAACUACGUGCCAGCAGCCGCGGUAAUACGUAGGGGGCAAGCGUUAUCCGGAAUGAUUGGGCGUAAAGAGUACGUAGGUGGUUUCGUAAGCGCAGGGUGAAAGGCAGUGGCUUAACCAUUGUAAGCCUUGCGAACUGCGAGACUUGAGUGCAGGAGAGGAAAGCGGAAUUCCUAGUGUAGCGGUGAAAUGCUUAGAUAUUAGGAGGAACACCAGUGGCGAAGGCGGCUUUCUGGACUGUAACUGACACUGAGGUACGAAAGCGUGGGGAGCAAACAGGAUUAGAUACCC
rnacentral:rRNA from 1 species